rnacentral:rRNA from 1 species
AGACGGAGGGUGCAAGCGUUGCUCGGAAUUACUGGGCGUAAAGGGUGCGUAGGCGGUCUCUCAAGUCUGGCGUGAAAGCCCAGGGCUCACCCCUGGAAGUGCGUUAGAAACUGAGAGACUUGAGUACCUGAGGGGAGAGUGGAAUUCCCGGUGUAGCGGUGAAAUGCGUAGAUAUCGGGAGGAAUACCGGUGGCGAAGGCGACUCUCUGGACGGUUACUGACGCUGAGGCACGAAAGCGUGGGGAGCAAACAGAAUUAGAAACCCCGGUAGUCC